CCUACGGGCGGCUGCAGUGGGGAAUAUUGCACAAUGGGCGCAAGCCUGAUGCAGCCAUGCCGCGUGUGUGAAGAAGGCCUUCGGGUUGUAAAGCACUUUCAGCGGGGAGGAAGGCGUUAAGGUUAAUAACCUUGGCGAUUGACGUUACCCGCAGAAGAAGCACCGGCUAACUCCGUGCCAGCAGCCGCGGUAAUACGGAGGGUGCAAGCGUUAAUCGGAAUUACUGGGCGUAAAGCGCACGCAGGCGGUCUGUCAAGUCGGAUGUGAAAUCCCCGGGCUCAACCUGGGAACUGCAUUCGAAACUGGCAGGCUAGAGUCUUGUAGAGGGGGGUAGAAUUCCAGGUGUAGCGGUGAAAUGCGUAGAGAUCUGGAGGAAUACCGGUGGCGAAGGCGGCCCCCUGGACAAAGACUGACGCUCAGGUGUGAAAGCGUGGGGAGCAAACAGGAUUAGAUACCCGGGUAGUC
rnacentral:rRNA from 1 species